rnacentral:rRNA from 1 species
GUCUACAGCCAUGCCACCCUGGACAAACCUGAUGUCUGACUUUCUUCUUGGAAGCUAAGCAGGGUUGGGCCUGGUGAGUACUUGGGUGGGAGACCACCUAGGAAUACCCGGUACCCUAGGGA